ACUAAAGUGAAUCGAUUCAAUGCAUCAGCUCAUCAGCUCAUUUAGAUUGAACUGAAGGUUCGUUUUGAGCGCACCAUUUUUCUUGUGCCGUUUCUCUUACUCCGUUUUUCUUUCAUAAGCAUGAUCGAAAUCAUUAAUGCACAAAGAACAAUGUUAUGCGAACAAAUUUGUGUGCGAAUCAUUAUUAUGUCACAUUUGUUGGCAUCCCUAAAUGUACCUUAGCCUACUGAGUGAGAGAAUUCGCUAUUCAAGAGCCGAAGAUCCGUUCAGCUCAUAACUUGUUUCCACCUUACCAGUGCGGUGAACUGGUGAGCUGCGGUUCUUUCAAAAAGAGCUGUGAGCUGUCAGCUCACUUUAAAGAUUCGAUUCACUGGAACAGCUCAGGAGCGAAUUGCCCAUCUCUAGUUUCCAAGGAGUCCCAAUACAAAUAAACAAAUAGUUUGCCACCGGAACAUAACGGGGGUUUGCUGCAGAGCAAAGUCGGUGUCCAAUCUCUGCAAAUUCACGGAAAAUCUUGUCAAUAAAGACUUCAUCCAGAAAAAAUGUCGAAUAUGACCUCUAGCCUUAGAUGGCUGACAUGAACGACAUCACUAGCUUGGAACAUUUCCGCCGAAAAAGGAAACAUUACCGCCUGAUAGAUUUGGUGUGUUAAUCAAACAUUUCUAUGUCGUUGGCUGAUUCGAUAGAGCAAAGUAGAAGGUCGGUUUCAGGUUUCCCAUUGCUAAAAAAAAAUUACCAAACGGAUUCAAAUAGUUGACACAGUCGGAAAAUUCCGAUGCGAUAAGAUAUUGUAAGCUAAUGGCGUUUUCGUUUUUAAUUUGCACUACACCGGUGCAGUGCAACACUGAGGCAUUAAUAAACGAACAAAAAUUACGAAAACAUAAACAGUAACCAAUGACUACAAUAAACGAUUCCAUUGCACAGAGCUACACCAAACUUUUGAUGAGUGCUACACCAGUGGUAUCGAUGCAGAAAAAGUGUAGCACUGGUGUAGUGCAAUUGGUAAAAACGAACGGUUUCAGUGCAGCUUUCGUUACACCAGUGUAAUGCAAUUUAAAAACGAAAACGACAUAAAUGGCGUAAUGGAAAACCGACCGACUUUCUCAAGGGUUUAAUACACUUAUCUUGAAAAUCAGAUACAUAAUCCACAUCUCAUUACUAACAUGUGAUUAGGGCAUAUCAUGUGAUAUGCCCUUUCGAAAGUUACGAAAAAUAAUGCUCAUUACUUAAGUUUUAAACAUGAAAUUCAAGCAUGUUGCGCACAAUUAGAUUGGACUUCUAUCGACGUCCGAGGUUGUAGAGCCGAGCAAUGAGCAUUAUAUUUUGUAACAUUCGCAAGGGCCUAUCGUGCGAUAUGCCCUAAUCACAUUUUACUACCGAUAUGCUAAGGACGUUUUGUCUAUCACUGUCCUCUGGAUUAUCACACUCAUUUUCGAUAAACCUGACAAACCAACGUUCGCGUCAUAUCUUUUGACUAAUGCACUGAAAAGUUAAUGAUAACCUAAUAAUUUUAACUCGGAUUUUAAUUACUACAAGAAAUAAAAUGUUGAACUGAUUUCA